ensembl:lncRNA
AUUUGUCAUGAAAUCUUUUUUUUUUUCCUUUUAGAAGUCCAUUUUAGAAAACACUGGUCAGGAAAGUACAUUAUCCUCAAAGAGAUGGUGACAUCAUAGGAAAGCAAGCUAAAAUGGACUUUUGCGUAGAAAUUAAAUUGUUUUAGUUUUGAGUUCUUAAAUUGGAUUAAUUUAAGAAGGAUACAACCAUUUCUCAGGCCUGUGUAGAAAAGUUAAGUUUGGUGCAGGUGGAAGGCUUAACCAUACAAAGAGCAAGACCAGGUCAAAGGUCUUCCCAAGAAAGAGGCUUCCUCACUCUACCUGAUGAAACCCUCUGUGUCUGUCAGUACCGUCAAAGCACAGAGAAGCGCACAGCCCCACACAGGCCCCUGGUUCUUCCUAUCAGCUCUGUGAUUAGAGACCAGAUCACCAAAUUACAGGCAGAUGACCUCAGUUGCUGACUGAAUCUGUCGGGGCUCACUGUUUAGUGUUUUUGAACCCUUUCGUGAAAGACCAGAGUCUCUUUCCUUCCCUUCCUGUCUGGUUUGCAUCACUGACAAAUUCCAUUUCUCCUCUCUUGAAAAAGACAUUCUUCUUUGGCCCGCUCCCUGUGAGAGAACACAAACCACUCCAAGAUGAGCUGGAAUGCAGCCUUCAUCAUAGGACGAUGAUCUUUUCCAACUGUAUUCAAGUCUGGAGUUCUUCGGGUAAAAAUUAAUCUUCCUGUGGACUCCAGAGGGCCCAUGGGAUUUUCCUUUUGGAUUAGUUGGAUGGUAGCAAGGUAAGCCUGAAGUUUCUCUUCAUGUUAUUACCUAUUAUUUUCUCUGGAAGGGAGGUUUGAAGAGCCCCUUGACUGUGCAGUGGGCAUUGGGAAUUAAGAGAAUGUUUAUUUUCAAUGGCAUGUUCUCAAAGAAAUAUAUAGGCAACUGUCAAAUUCCCUAACCUCCUUAAGCAUCAAGUUCAUAAGUUCUAAAAUGUAUGUAUUUAUAGUACCAUAUUCUAUUUUCCAGGAUUGGUGUGGGAUUAAAAUGAAAUAAUUCAUAUAAAGUCCUAAGCAUAUUGCCUGGGAUUUGGUGAAUGCUUUAAUGUCAGCAGCUACAUAACCAUAUUGAUAAUGUAUAUAAUAACUCCUUUUUUUAGCAUUGUUUGUAAAUGCGAUGCAUUUUGCAAAUAACUAAAGCCUAAUUCUGUAUUAAACCUUUAAAUUUUCUAUAAUUUUAGUUGAAAGUAUUUCUGAAAUGUGUUCACAGUGCAUUUCUGCCUUACUUCGUUAAACUGAGACAAGAUUUGUCUUAGGACUAGAGCACAGGGAGCUCUGUGGGAAGAAUGUUGUACUUUUACUUUAACCCCUGGAUUUUUAGUUGCUGUUCUGAGUUUUUAGGAAUUAGACCCAAGAGGGGCUAAAUUCAAAGAGUCUCAAUAUUAACACAAAAUUUGUUUUAAUAUGAGUCUUUAUUUCUAUACACUAAAACAUUUUGCAACCCCUGGUGGGAAGGAUUCAAUUUGUCUACUUAAGAAAUAUCCAUUGAAUGUCUACUAUGUCCCAGGAAGUACUUGUGAUGCUGAAUAAACAGGACACAGACAAAAAUCCCUAUUCUCA